UAAUAAAAAGCUUUAAAUAAAAGGAACAGAAGAUUUCCAAUUAGUAGAAGCAAGGGAUGAAAUUUCAGGCCAGUAGAUUUACAUUUUUAAAGAGAAAUGCUUCUGGAGGAACACAAGGCUCGUUUUCAAUACAGAGCUCUAUAUAAAAGGCAAUUUUAGAGACAAUGUGAAAAGUCUUCUUGCAUGAAUGCAACCAAUAACCUUGUAACAAUAGAUGAGUACAGUUCUUUGUUUUUCUCAUUUUAAAUUUAUAUCCAUUUCAACACCUUGCUAAAAUCUCAACUUCACACCAUUUUUUUUAAUCACUGCACCAGGAGGGAAUAAAAUUAUUUAUGUUGGAAAUGGCAACAAUUUGAUAAAUAACUCUUUUUAACUUCAAUUUGAUAAAUAACUCUUUUUAGGUCAUGCUGUCAUAUAGCCAUAGGUCAAACGUCUGAACACUUUAAUUCAAGAAUGCUUUUUUUAAACUCAAAAAAAUGCACCUAACACCAAGUUAUUAAAUUUCAUGGCAUCUUCUCCUACGAAUAACAUGACCUUAAAUUUGUAGUCAUACAAUAAACACCUGUAUGUACCAGUAACAUUAGUUCAGAGAUCCAAGUUACAAUGAACUCUAAAUGAACACAUGAAAACUUUAAUGGAAACAAAGGACACAUUCUUAAUUUUUUACUCAGAAUUUCACUUUCUCUGGUAGUAUCUCUCUUUAGCACACAUUGAGGAAGGACAUAACAUAAAAAGGCAGAUCAGGUGGAAGGUUUAAGAAUUAGCAACACCUAAAACUUUUUUUGAAGAAUACUCUGGCUCAUGACCUUUUAAGACAAGGGAGAUUACACUACUUAAAUUGUACAUAUGGCCACAUAAAGACAAUCCAACAGCAAAACAAAAAGAACAGAUAUAGGCCAGAAAACAGCGAACACAAGAUUACACACUCCUAAAACUGAAUAAUGUAUUAUACAAAGCAAAUUGCCAUUUGGUACCCUUUUAUCAAUUUUCCCUAAGUAAGAUCAAGGAACCUUGUGAAGUUGCUUUCUGCCCCUUUUGGUAAUACGCCACAAUUAGUCUGUCAGGGACUGCUUCUGAUGUUUUACUUGAAAUUGGCCAGGAAAUACAAACAAACAGGAAAGCUCUGCUAAACUAUCAGUAACAAAACAAAAAAAAAAAUUGUAGACAUUCAAGAAGAACUAUUUAAGAAAGUUAACACCAUUUUAAAAAUCUCAGUAUUCUAACAUAUAUCCAGCAGAAUGAAACUAUGACUUAAUUAAAAUCACCUAAUCUCAAAACACAUGUAUUCUACAAUCAUGUCAGAAAGUCUGUAACAUACACCAUGUUACCAAAUUAAAAAUUACUUCUCACAAAAUGAAUUUUUUUUACCUCAUGAAUUUCAAUUUGAAACUGUUUUCUGCAUUUUUGUCAGAAACCACUUUGGAAGGGAAUUGGACUGGCACUCACUUAUGCACGUGGUCUUAAGGAACCUAGCUCCGAAAUAAGCGAUUCCUCACUUGGCUGUGCUCUGUGCAGUAGAGAAAAGCUGCCUUUAUUUACUGCUAAAACUGCUACUAUUAUUAUGCAUAUACACAUUAAAGUGUAUGUGCUGUAGGUCACAGUUCCUUUUAUGCCUUAUAUGCAUAUAUUUUAGCUGACUCCUUCUGCAGACUAACUAUUGUCCCCAGAAUUUUCAUAUCCCAGAUGAAUCACCUCUCCUUCAGACAUCUACUCACACGCAGCCAUGUCUAAAGAUACACACUAGCUAGAAUUAAAAACAGAUUGUACCCUUUCCCAUCAAGACUGCAGCAUGACUGACACAAGCAUAAGUGCUCAGCAACUGAAGUGAUGACAGUAUAAAAACCAUCCCAUUAAAUAAAAUACAGUAAAUAAAACACACAUACACACAGACUAAAUAUCGGGAUCUAAAUUAUGAACUGGCACCAGUCACAAAUGAGGUUUUACAGGUAAAUAAAGCAGCAGCAUUGCAGGGGGGGUGGGGGUGGGGGGUCUGAUUAGAUUCUGCAGCUAGCAAGAUCACCUUGAAAAAGCAAACAAGCAAGAAAAACAUCCACCACAAAAGCAUCAGAGCACUGUGAGAAAGGGGGGAAAAGGUGCUGGAUGCAGUGUUUUUCGUUACACAGUAGCUGAAACUAAGUCACAAUGAAUAUCAAGUACAGAAAAAUCCUGAGGGAAGGGACAGGAGUAAUGGACUUUGUAGGAAAAGAAGGUUAUUUUCGGCCAGGGUAUAACAUCAAUUAGUCCCCUGACUUUCUCAAAGGAAAGUCAAGAUUAGGAACAAGGAGGACAGAGGAAUAUGCAGUAGAUUUAAAAAGAUCAGUUAUCUAAGAAAUGACAGAACUAUGCAACUAGGUCUGCACCUCAAUGUUUACUGAAAAAGGUAAUUCCUACACUCGCCCUUUCACACUCCAUAUAUUCUUCACUAUUUUGUCCUGUAUUAUUUACCUUCUCAGUUUUAUUUUGAAAGGCUCCAAAAAACAUGUCUGCAGAAACCAUAUAUGCCUCUACCUAUAGGUUUUUACAUAUGCCUAAGACAGAAUACAGGCCAGCUAAUCUGAUGUAACCCUAUGCCAUACUCUUUUGUAAAAAUCAGACUUAAGAUCCCUCUUCUGCCAGAUGCAGACAUUUUUAUAGUGAGAUACAAAGUCAGUAACUGAAAUUUAAAAUGUUCUAAACUGCAUCUGCAGUUCUCAGAAGCUUGAGGAUGCUCUCCUUCUAGCAAUUAUCAACAUUUCUCAGCUGGCAGCCAGUGAAAGCACAGAUGGUAACAACGAACUGACCUACUGCAUGUCAUGUAUCACCACAGACCAUACUGAUAACCACUUAUAUAUUCAUUCUAUAUCUUUAAAAAUUAGUUUCUAACACUACUUUCCCAAUUUCUUAAGGGUUCUCCUUUUCAUUUUUUUUCAUAUAGAUGUAGUUUCAUUCUUAGUGCAACACACUUGAGUCUGAAAACCUUUCAAGGAAGAAAAUAACAAAUCUGCUGAAUAUAUGUAGCAUUUUAGAUCAAACAGUCAUUUCAAAAUCUCCAUCAAGUAGUUUUCACUAAAUAACUAGAAACAGGAUUCCUUCUAUUUAUACAUUAAGUGAGUACUAAUACUGUUCUUCUCCCCACUUGCCUGCAAACAGUAGAAGUAAACUUUAAGUAAACUGGAAUCAAUGCAAAAAAAAGCCUACUAGAUAGGAAAAAUGUGAUCCUUUCUUCCCUGCCACCCAAAAGGACUUAUACCUUUUCCCUCUGCAAUUCAGCAUUUUGACAACUGCACUAUCACUACAACUAUUAAUGUAUUUAUAUGCAUUAAACACAUACCACAUUUCUCUAAAGCAACUACAACCACAACUGCAUAUCCUGUAGCUUUUUCCCACCACAAAAUCUGCAACACUAUUUUCCUGAGACCAUUCUAUCAACACUGACAACAGCAAAAAGUACUUUUAGAGACUGAGCUUCUAAAACUUCCAAUAUCCUUUACUUCUGUACUAGGUGACAGGAUGUUGAACACUGAAGGUGACUGAGAACAUCUUUGCUAUUGCUGAAAUUCUACUAGCAAGAUCUAUUACAAAGAAAAUCAGUAUGAACAGGAUCCUGACCUCUCAGCUGUCUGAUAACACUGAGUCUGACUGCUGACUAUUACAGAAUCUCAAGCUGCAUCAAGACAUAGGGCAGACAUGAUCAUAAAACCUCUUCCAUCUAACUACUUAUAAAGCUAAUUUUUUUGGAAGCAGACCUUGGUAACAGAAAGUAUUUUUUACUCAAAGCAACACGACCUUUAAAACUCAACUAGUACAUUUGUUUUGAUUAUAAAUAAUGCUAAUGAGACUAUAAGCUAGAAGAUUGGCACAACUCAAGAUUCUGCUAAAAGCAGUUUAAGUUAGACAGGUCUGGUCUGAGCUGUUUUGUAAACUGUUUUGUCCUUGUCAUGUAAGCCAAAAGUUCUGAAAGUGAAAUUUAUUUUGUAUUGCUUACAAUUUAAACACUGACAACCUAGAGUUUUAAAGUGAAAGAAAAAAAGCAAAGCAGCUAUAUUUAAUAUAUUCUUUUCAUGGCACACUGGUGUUUCAGAGGGUUUACAAAGAUGCACCAACUGCAUAUGACACACAUCUCAUAUCUGAAAAAAAGCAUCAGAAGGGAUAAAGGGAUAAUUAACAGAUAUUACACACAGCUUUUCCACUGGCCUCCUGCCCCUCAUAUCCCACAAUUAAAAAGUUAACCUUCUCUAUGUUCCCCAGUACCUAGUUGUGACAGUCUCCAGUUCAAAGGUUACUGUGUAACACACCCUGAGCGCUCCAGCAUAUUCCAAAAGAAAAAGCAACUGAUCAGGUCACAUACUUAGAUGGGCCUGAAUGUAUGUCCUCAAACUCUGCCUCAUAGUACCUAAAAUGAGACUGCAGGCAAAAGCAGUGUAGUUCAGGUACAAGAAACGGAAGAUACAAACCCACUGAUUCAGAGUAACAAAAUCCAACUAAAAGCCUCACGUUUCAGUGCAGAGAGCACAGUACAGUUUGCACCAAUAAAUACCAAUCCCAUAUAGUAGCUGUUUGCAGGAAGCGUAAUGAUUAUUGUGUGAUCCCUACCAAUAUUUAACACCAGUUUUCCUUUCAUAAAUUCUGUUGCUGCACCAGAGUGAAGCACCCUCAAUGAAGAAAACACAGAGCAAUAACGGAUAGUGUGCUUUCAUAAACUGCAGUAAACAUCACUUCUCAGACCUUAUAUGCUCAUGUCUAUUUAUGCUCUGGAUGUCUGUCUAAAAAUGGAUUGUCAGACUUUCUGCUGACCAACAGCAUCCUCUUCCCAUUAACCAAUUGUACAUGUAUCUGUAUAGAGAGAAACAAUACACUGACUAAUGAAACUCCAUUGCGUGCCAAUUUCUCUUUAUAUACACCUUGAAUAUGUUUACAAGUUUGUCAGAUAAUCUCAAGAAUUCAACAGUACAUCUAUCUGCCAACAUUAUUAUUGCCUUUAAAUAAUUAAAAUACUAGCCUAAAGAGGAAAAAAAUGUUCAUUAGAAAAGGUCACUAGAUGCUACCAGUCUAUCUUUUUACCGUAACAUAAAAUCAAGCAUGUAAUGAACAGGAAAAAACUCACAGUAAGCCAAGUCUCAGAGUAACUUUGAAUGCAUCACACAGCUCGUUAACUGUUCACCCACUUAACAGGUUAACUUUGACACCAAAAUACAUACAGCCAUAUUAAGACAUCACAGUAAUUGGGAGGUAUUUAAAGACAUGUACUCUGCUCUCACUUUCAGCUUGACAGAAGUUCAACAUGACUUCUAAGAGCAAACACUUCUCUCAAAAAAAACCCCCAAAAAAAC